CGCGACGAAGAGCCGCCCGCGAGGCGGCAAUGGCUGUGACGACCGCGGUGCCGGUCCGGUGGGACGGCCCACUCGUUAUCGCGACGCGUCCUGUCCGACGACCGCCCGUGCAAAUGAUGCGCAAUCGCGUUAACAAACAAUCGGGGCUGUGAAUUCAACGCGUUCGGGAAACGAUUAAACACGCGCGCUAAAAACCGACGAAAUCAACGUUGCCGAAAUAAACUUAAACUUGUACAAUUACCGAUUUUUCAAUAAAAAAAAAAAAAAAAAAAAAAAAAAAA